ensembl:lncRNA
AUAGUUCUACGUAUACCAAGUUCAGAAACAGACAAAAGUGGAGUUCCUGUUGUGGCUCAGCAGGUUAAGAACCUGACUAGUAUCCAUGAGGAUUCAGGCUUGAUCCCUAGCCUCACUCAGUGGGUUAAGGAUCUCCAGUUGCUGUGGCUGUGGCAUAGACCUGCACCUGUAGCUCCAAUUCGACCCCUAGCUUGGGAACUUCCAUACGCCUGCUGCAAGUGCAGCCUUAAAAAGACCAAAAAAAAAAAAAAAAAGAAAAAGAAAAAAAAAAUAGGUGGGUUCACAAAUGACUGGCUUGUAAACAGUCUGCACCCAGCAUCCUGCUAUCUUCCAUCCUUUGAUCAGAGUGGCCGGCUCUGCUGCCAGCCCACAUGCUUCACUGAAUCCACGGAAUCUGGUUAUCCCCAAUUCCAGACUCUCAGUCCUUGUGGUGGUCCACCCAGCUGCUCACCAGGACACCAUGAGCAAGGUGCAGGAGGCGCGGAGGUUCUGCCUUUUCUUCUCUGGUGCUCGAGACACCCCUGGUUCAUACCCUGCAAAGCCCUUGGCCUUGAAGAUGGCCCUCCUUGCUCUGCAGCUGAGAGGGAAGAGAUGGGCGUGAACACAGAGCUGGGUGAGGCCUGCCUCUGCUCCCCCAUAGCCAGGCUCCAGGCCUAGAGCAGAGAGAGGGGCUGGAAGACCCUAACCUUGGCCUUGUCAGCCAUGCGGGGCUGGCUGUUCUCCAGGGCCAUGAGAAAGCAAAGGGGGCUCCACGCCCCCCGUUGACAAAGGAUGAGUGACCUUGGCCAGGAAACUGGACACCUUUGCUGCAGAACCAUCCAUCGGAUGUUUGCAGGCUGGUAGGGCAGGCAUAAGGCAAGCACAGAGCCCGAGAGGCUGCCCACAGGGGGAACCUGGUUCCAGGUCUCUGAGUCCCGGCUCUCUCAGAAAGGUGUGCACUACAGGCAGGGGUGGCCAUGGCCAAGCUCAGAACAUCUGCUCACUUGGGCCUGCUGGCCUCUUGUGAUGUCAGUGGAGAAGCAGGCUGGCCUCCAGCUAAUGGUCAGGGAGUGAGGGCUCCCCAAUCAGCCACAAGCCCGAGGCUUCCAGAAAGUGACCCAGAGAGAGGAGCCUGGCUCCACUCACCUAUCACCGCUGCUGCACUGACACACCCUCAGGUCCUGGCUCGUCAGUGAAUUUAACUGUGUGACCUUGGGCAGGUCACCCAACCGCUCUGUGCUGCAGUCCCCCUAUCUUGUAAAAUGGGAGUGAUACCUGCCUAACAGGGUUGUUGUGGGUCUUAAUUAGACAUAACAUCUGCAAAGCAUCUAAGCUUCUUGACAUUUAUGUGUGCACACAGGCGUGCACAUUCACACACAUUCUCGGGUGCACACACAUCCAGAGACACAUCCUCUAUACACAUGUGAGCACACACAUUUACACACAUAUUCACACACAGACACAUACACACACUUGCACAUUCACAUGUACAGACACCCCCAUUCACAUAGACCUUCACACGUGUUCACACACAUGCACAGUCACACACACACCUAAGAAACUCACUCAUGUACACACUCGUACAUGCAGACACACAGUCACAUGUAAACAUACAUACACAUAUAGAUACUUAGACUUAUACACACAAGUACAGGUGCACACAGACACUCGCACUCAUGUACUCACACAGACACACAGACACACACUCAUUAACAGGGCCUGGCUGAUACACAGGGUUGGCCUUACUUAAAAAAAUAAAAAGAAACAGGCCUUUGUCCA